rnacentral:rRNA from 1 species
UACGGAGGGAGCUAGCGUUGUUCGGAAUUACUGGGCGUAAAGCGCGCGUAGGCGGUUACUCAAGUCAGAGGUGAAAGCCCGGGGCUCAACCCCGGAACUGCCUUUGAAACUAGGUAACUAGAAUCUUGGAGAGGUCAGUGGAAUUCCGAGUGUAGAGGUGAAAUUCGUAGAUAUUCGGAAGAAACACCAGUGGCGAAGGCGACUGACUGGACAAGUAUUGACGCUGAGGUGCGAAAGCGUGGGGAGCAAACAGGG